AAGAGAAGCAAAGCCGCGAGGUAGAGCAAAUCUCAAAAAAACAAUCUCAGUUCAGACUGCAGGCUGCAACUCGCCUGCACGAAGUCGGAAUUGCUAGUAAUCGUAGGUCAGCAUACUACGGUGAAUACGUUCCCGGGCCUUGUACACACCGCCCGUCAAACCAUGAGAGUUGGCAACACCCGAAGUCGGUAGUCUAACCGCAAGGAGGACGCCGCCGAAGGUGGGGUUGAUGAUUAGGGUUAAGUCGUAACAAGGUAAC
rnacentral:rRNA from 1 species